GACGAACGCUGGCGGCGUGCCUAAUACAUGCAAGUCGAACGCACAGUUUAUACCGUAGCUUGCUACACCAUAAACUGUGAGUUGCGAACGGGUGAGUAACGCGUAGGUAACCUGCCUGGUAGCGGGGGAUAACUAUUGGAAACGAUAGCUAAUACCGCAUAAUAUUGAUUAUUGCAUGAUAAUUGAUUGAAAGAUGCUAUUGCAUCACUACCAGAUGGACCUGCGUUGUAUUAGCUAGUAGGUGAGGUAACGGCUCACCUAGGCGACGAUACAUAGCCGACCUGGGAGGGUGAUCGGCCACACUGGGACUGAGACACGGCCCAGACUCCUACGGGAGGCAGCAGGAGGGAAUCUUCGGCAAUGGACGAAAGUCUGACCGAGCAACGCCGCGUGAGUGAAGAAGGGUUUCGGAUCGUAAAGCUCUGUUGUAAGAGAAGAACGGGUGUGAGAGUGGAAAGUUCACACUGUGACGGUAGCUUACCAGAAAGGGACGGCUAACUACGUG
rnacentral:rRNA from 1 species